UAACUAUUUUCGACUUUGCCUUCCACCGACUAUUUUUGGAGGAAUUCUACACUGUCACACUUGCACCACGUCAUCAAUAACAAGCCAAUCACAUUCCUUCUUUUUAAACAAAAGUACAAUAAAAAUACUUUUUUACAAUCAUGAUGGGACAUAUAUUCUUAAAAGGAUUAAUUUGAUUGGUUUGUUACGCCACGUCACUAAUAUACCCGUUGCAUUCUAGAAUUUUUACUAUUUUUGGUGGG
rnacentral:lncRNA from 1 species